GACGAACGCUGGCGGCGUGCUUAACACAUGCAAGUCGAACGGAAAGGCCCCUUUGGGGGUACUCGAGUGGCGAACGGGUGAGUAACACGUGAGUAACCUGCCCUUGACUUCGGGAUAACUUCAGGAAACUGGGGCUAAUACCGGAUAGGAAUCCUUGCUGCAUGGUGGGGGUUGGAAAGCUUCGGCGGUUUUGGAUGGACUCGCGGCGUAUCAGCUUGUUGGUGGGGUAGUGGCUUACCAAGGCUUUGACGGGUAGCCGGCCUGAGAGGGCGACCGGCCACAUUGGGACUGAGAGACGGCCCAGACGCCGACGGGAGGAAGAAGUGGGGAAGAUUGCACAAUGGGCGGAAGCCUGAUGCAGCAACGCCGCGUGCGGGAGGACGGCCUUCGGGUUGUAAACCGCUUUCAGCAGGGGCGAAGCUUGUGGUGACGGUACCUGCAGAAGAAGCACCGGCUAACUACGUG
rnacentral:rRNA from 1 species